rnacentral:rRNA from 1 species
UACGGAGGGUGCAAGCGUUGUUCGGAAUUAUUGGGCGUAAAGGGCAAGUAGGUGGUCUUGUAAGUCUACUGUGAAAUCCCUGGGCUUGACCCAGGAAGUGCGGUGGAUACUGCAAGACUAGAGUGCUGGAGGGGUACGUGGAAUUCCUGGUGUAGCGGUGAAAUGCGUAGAUAUCAGGAGGAACACCGAUUGCGAAGGCAGCUCGCUGGGACGUUACUGACGCUGAGACGCGAAAGCGUGGGGAGCAAACAGG